rnacentral:rRNA from 1 species
AGUGAACGCUGGCGGGAGGAAGAACAAAGGCAAGUCGAACGGCAGCACAGUAAGAGCUUGCUCUUACGGGUGGCGAGUGGCGGACGGGUGAGGAAUACAUCGGAAUCUACUUUUUCGUGGGGGAUAACGUAGGGAAACUUACGCUAAUACCGCAUACGACCUACGGGUGAAAGCAGGGGAUCUUCGGACCUUGCGCGAUUGAAUGAGCCGAUGUCGGAUUAGCUAGUUGGCGGGGUAAAGGCCCACCAAGGCGACGAUCCGUAGCUGGUCUGAGAGGAUGAUCAGCCACACUGGAACUGAGACACGGUCCAGACUCCUACGGGAGGCAGCAGUGGGGAAUAUUGGACAAUGGGCGCAAGCCUGAUCCAGCCAUACCGCGUGGGUGAAGAAGGCCUUCGGGUUGUACAGCCCUUUUGUUGGGAAAGAAAAGCAGCAGGUUAAGACCCCGCUGUUCUGACGGUACCCAAAGAAUAAGCCCCGGCUCCCUUCUU